rnacentral:rRNA from 1 species
CCUACGGGGUGCAGCAGUGAGGAAUAUUGGUCAAUGGGCGAGAGCCUGAACCAGCCAAGUCGCGUGAGGGAGUACUGCCCUAUGGGUUGUAAACCUCUUUUGUCGGGGAGCAAAAGCCGGACGUGUCCGGCUGUGAGAGUACCCGAAGAAAAAGCAUCGGCUAACUCCGUGCCAGCAGCCGCGGUAAUACGGAGGAUGCGAGCGUUAUCCGGAUUUAUUGGGUUUAAAGGGUGCGCAGGCGGAUUUUUAAGUCAGCGGUAAAAUCGUGGGGCUCAACCCCAUCCAGCCGUUGAAACUGGGGAUCUAGAGUGUGCGAGAGGAAUGCGGAAUGCGUGGUGUAGCGGUGAAAUGCAUAGAUAUCACGCAGAACCCCGAUUGCGAAGGCAGCAUACCGGUGCACAACUGACGCUCAGGCACGAAAGCGUGGGUAUCGAACAGGAUUAGAUACCCGUGUAGUC